GUUAUGUGGGCAAAACUCCCAGCCAAAAGCCCAGGAUCUGGUGUUGACUUUACUUCAGUCCCUUGCUUGGACAAAGUCUCUCCCUUGUUUGCUGUGGGAUUACCUCUCACAGGGCUGGGGUGAGACCUCCAGGUUAUGUGCUAUUAAUCGCUACUCGUUCCAGUGCAGAGGGAUUUUGCAGUUUUGAAGCCAGGAGACUGUUUACAUUGGGAAGACUGGUUGCUUGGCAUUCCAGAAAGCAGAGGAACCUGAAAAGAAGGGCUCCCAUUAAGAAGACAUGGUAAUGGAAAGGAGAAGGAGGCUUAUGAAGAGGAAGGCAAAGAUCCUGGCUGGAGGAAACCCCCUGGAAUUUGGCGAAGGUCCUGGAGACCUUCAGGCCCUUCCUGGAGGUAAGGGAUCACUGCCAUCAGUCUCACUUGGGCUGCUGCUCCCCAUACAGCCUGAAAGAGGUAUCAAAAAGGAGUCUACCAUCCCUUGUGCUCCCCCCUCUACUUCAUCUGCAACCUUCUACCUCUGGAGUUACACUAACAAGGGCAAUUUGUGCUUGUAGACUAUUAAUUGCAGUACAGUGAUGCAGCAAGUCAUUAAUCCAGGCUGGCACUUUCUAGGCAAUGUAUAAACAUGCAGCAUGCAGGUCCCUGCUUUGACAUAUCCUUGCAUUUGUCUGCUUGUUGUUAAGCAACACAGACAAAUGACAUAAAAGUAUAGAAAGAAGUGAAUGUCUUUGGAUUCAUCAAUGGUUAGCAGCAAAACAGGUCUAAUUUGUCCAGACACUGACCUACUGCCUCUCCACUUUUUUUGCCCUGGUCAACAACUAUCCAUCCUCAAAUGUUUUGCGGCCCUCACAUACAUUUAGGAUCAUAUGUCUAACUGAAAGGACCAGUAGUUUUUAUAUGGCUGUCUAGACGUUACCCAGGUUCCUAUUUCCACAUCAUUUUUCUAUCGUGUUCAACAACACAUAAUUACACUUCAGUGUAGAAAUGCCAUUUGUAAAAAAAGGCCAUUUGUAAUGCGGAGAA